rnacentral:lncRNA from 1 species
GCCAAGCACUACUAGAUUUUUCUGUGUAUGUCUCAUGUAAUGCUCUAAAAUAUCUCAUAAGUUAGGUACUUCUGUUACUCUCAGUUUACAAAUAAGUGAACCAGCUUAGGAGAAAUUUUGAUGAUUUGGUCAGUUUGACAUAUCCUUAGAAGGGCAGAUUCAAGAUUCAAUUUCAGAUCAUCCUGGUUAAUACAUGAGUCAAUUCUAGAUUGAUUUUUCUGGCAUCUUACUAAUAGGGAUGCUUCAAUGCUUUGUUGAGAUUAGAUCAACAGAAUUUAAAUACUAUUUAUGGGGGCAUGUUGGGAUAAGUCAACUGUAAAAUAAGCAUUCUUGUGGUUUGCUUUAUUAUGAAUUAACAAUAACUUGGGAUAUCAACUCUGCCAAAUUUUAAUAUACAUUCGAUAACUAUUUUAAUAACAGUUAAAGCUUUGUCUUAAAAAAAUAUGUGACAGGGUAAUUGUUAAAAAUGCUAAAUACAGCUAUCCAGGCUAGAAGACUCAUUGCUUAAACCUUGCCUGUGAGCACAUUUAUUUCCUUUAUAGAACACAUGCUGCAAAAAUAAUACAGAGAGUUGCAGGUAUAGUACAAGUUUAUCUAUUUCUACUAGCGAGGGACUUUUAACAUUACCCAAGUGUAGCAUCUCUAUGUUUGUCUCUUUCUGUCUUUAUUUGACAGUGUACCACUCCUCAUUUUCAGAUAGAGCCCCCUUUAAAAGAGACAACAUUUUUGUGGAGAGAAACUUGAUGACCAGACUCUAUGCAACAUGCCCUGGAUUCUGGAGACCACAGCCUGAGGGCCCUCCACCUGCAACUGAGACUUCAUGAGAAGGAAAAGAAAUCCAGCAGCGGUUUCCUAGCCACAGUGAGUACAGCUAAAGAUUGGUGAAGUAACUGUCCAGGAGCACCUACCACAAGGUAAACUCCAUUCAAGCAAUUUUAGAGUAGUCUGAUUCCAAAAGGGUUUUCCUAAUUGUUGCUAGUUUUCUGUUUCCUGUUUAUUCCAGUUGAUGGCAUGUAAGUGAGUCCUUGACUGAAACUGUCAAUGUUAGGUCUUAAGAGGUAAUUUAAUCUUCUAUCUAGUCACCCAUAUCUUGUUUCAAGGUGCUGUGUGCUUGUAUGUCUGAAUGAUGGCCCUUAAACUGCAUCUCUGCACUUUUGUGUCUGUAUAGUAAUGUGGUAAGAGCAAGUUUGUGUGUGUGUGUGGGGGGGGUAUCUGUUUUAUGAUAUAUCAACCUAUGGUCUAUUCAAGUCAAGUCCUUGAGAAGUUUGGAGAAAUGGGGAAGUGAAGAAGCAGAUGAAAAAAAAAAAAGUAAUAAGAAAGAAGUAGGAAGUUAAAUUUCA